GGUGCCUAAUGAGGGCAGCCAUUUUGGCCCAGGAAUACAAACUAGGAUGCAGUUUGCUGCAGCAAGGAAGGAGGAAACAUCAGGCUGAGAGGCUGCUCUGGCCAGAGCUCAGGAGGAACCAUGAAAGUUUUCAGACUUCAACACUGAGGGUGGCUAGGAUGAAUGUUUCUGACAUCUAAAUGAAGGUGGCAGUAAAAUCAGAAAGCAUUAUAAAACUACAUGUGUACAGGUAACUAAACCCUCUAGCCAUCUCUGCGUCCUUGGAGGAUGUUAAUAGGCUGCAAAGUCUUCUGCCUGCAGUGUAUUCCUGAAAGG